UACGGAGGGUGCGAGCGUUGUCCGGAAUCACUGGGCGUAAAGGGCGCGUAGGCGGUCUGCUAAGCGUGCGGUGAAAGCCUGGGGCUCAACCCCAGGUCUGCCGUGCGAACUGGUGGACUUGAGCACUGUAGAGGCAGGUGGAAUUCCGGGUGUAGCGGUGGAAUGCGUAGAGAUCCGGAAGAACACCAGUGGCGAAGGCGGCCUGCUGGGCAGUUGCUGACGCUGAGGCGCGACAGCGUGGGGGAGCAAACAGG
rnacentral:rRNA from 1 species